UUGUCCNGGAUUAUUGGGCGUAAAGGGAGCGCAGGCGGUCAGGAAAGUCUGGAGUAAAAGGNUAUGGCUCAACCAUAGUGUGCUCUGGAAACUGUCUGACUUGAGUGCAGAAGGGGAGAGUGGAAUUCCAUGUGUAGCGGUGAAAUGCGUAGAUAUAUGGAGGAACACCAGUGGCGAAAGCGGCUCUCUGGUCUGUCACUGACGCUGAGGCUCGAAAGCGUGGGUAGCGAACAGGAUUAGAUACCCUGGUAGUNCACGCCGUAAACGAUGAGUGCUAGGUGUUAGGCCCUUUCCGGGGCUUAGUGCCGGAGCUAACGCAAUAAGCACUCCGCCUGGGGAGUACGACCGCAAGGUUGAAACUCAAAGGAAUUGACGGGGGCCCGCACAAGCGGUGGAGCAUGUGGUUUAAUUCGAAGCAACGCGAAGAACCUUACCAGGUCUUGACAUCCCGAUGCUAUUCUUAGAGAUAGGAAGUUACUUCGGUACAUCGGAGACAGGUGGUGCAUGGUUGUCGUCAGCUCGUGUCGUGAGAUGUUGGGUUAAGUCCCGCAACGAGCGCAACCCUUAUUGUUAGUUGCCAUCAUUAAGUUGGGCACUCUAGCGAGACUGCCGGUAAUAAACCGGAGGAAGGUGGGGAUGACGUCAAAUCAUCACGCCCCUUAUGACCUGGGCUACACACGUGCUACAAUGGUCGGUACAACGAGUUGCGAGCCGGUGACGGCAAGCUAAUCUNUGAAAGCCGAUCUCAGUUCGGAUUGGAGGCUGCAACUCGCCUCCAUGAAGUCGGAAUCGCUAGUAAUCGCGGAUCAGCACGCCGCGGUGAAUACGUUCCCGGGCCUUGUACACACCGCCCGUCACACCACGAGAGUUUGUAACACCCGAAGU
rnacentral:rRNA from 1 species